AGUGAACGCUGGCGGUAGGCCUAACACAUGCAAGUCGAACGGCAGCACAGUAAGAGCUUGCUCUUAUGGGUGGCGAGUGGCGGACGGGUGAGGAAUACAUCGGAAUCUACUUUUUCGUGGGGGAUAACGUAGGGAAACUUACGCUAAUACCGCAUACGACCUACGGGUGAAAGCAGGGGAUCUUCGGACCUUGCGCGAUUGAAUGAGCCGAUGUCGGAUUAGCUAGUUGGCGGGGUAAAGGCCCACCAAGGCGACGAUCCGUAGCUGGUCUGAGAGGAUGAUCAGACACACUGGAACUGAGACACGGUCCAGACUCCUACGGGAGGCAGCAGUGGGGAAUAUUGGACAAUGGGCGCAAGCCUGAUCCAGCAAUACCGCGUGGGUGAAGAAGGCCUUCGGGUUGUAAAGACCUUUUGUUGGGAAAGAAAAGCAGCAGGUUAAUACGCCGCUGUUCUGACGGUACCCAAAGAAUAAGCACCGGCUAACUUCGUG
rnacentral:rRNA from 1 species